UACAGAGGUGGCAAGCGGUGUUCGGAAUUACUGGGCGUAAAGGGCGCGUAGGCGGCCUUCUAAGUCGGACGUGAAAGCCCCAGGCUUAACCUGGGAACUGCGUCCGAUACUGGGAGGCUUGGAUUCGGGAGAGGGAUGUGGAAUUCCAGGUGUAGCGGUGAAAUGCGUAGAUAUCUGGAGGAACACCGGUGGCGAAGGCGGCAUCCUGGACCGAGAUCGACGCUGAGGCGCGAAAGCUAGGGGAGCAAACGGG
rnacentral:rRNA from 1 species